UGGGUACAUGAAGGACUCAAAGUGGAAAAGGAAAACGGUUUUCUGAGUUAAAGGUGAUUGGAUCCUAGGACGAGGUGCUCUUCCCUAUCCAUUACUCGGUAGGUUUAACGUGGCACUAAAUGUUAGCAACCGUGCCCAGAGUCACUCCGCUGACGGUCAAGGUUUAAUCAUGUGUAUAUGAAUACUUGGUGUGAAAUACUAAGAAUCAUUUGUUAAUCUAUAUAUGAAUAUAAUGGUUGAUGAUACCAUUAUGAAUGCAUGAUUGGGUUUUAUGAA